rnacentral:lncRNA from 1 species
CAUGAAGAAAAACAGAAAUGAAAGGGAAAAAAUAGGCAAAUCCACAACUAUACUCAAAGACUUCAACAUCCCUUGCUCAGUAAUCUGUAGAACAAGUAGAUGAAAAAUCAUCAGGGACAUAUAAGACCUAAACAACAAACAAAUUAACCUAAUUGAUAUUUUUAGAGCACUCUCCCCUUCAAUAGCAGAAUACAUAUUUUUUUCAAUGGAACACAUAGAAAGCAUUUGCCAAGAAAGAUCAUGUUCUGGGUCAUGGAACAUAUAUUAACAAAUGUCAAAUAAUUGAAAUAAUAAAAAGUAUAUAUUUUAACUAUAAAAAUUUUUACUAGAAAUCCAAUAACAAAAUGAUGCCUGACAAUAACAAUGGCUAGUAAGAAUAGAGAAUAACUAGAACUGCAUUCAUAGCUGGUGGGAAUGUACAAUGAUAGAACCCUUUUAGAAAAUAGUUUGGCAUUUUCUUCUAAAGUUUUCAAUAUACACUUAACCAUAAGAACAAGAAUCUCACAUGUACAUAUUUACUCAAGAAAAAUAAAAACUUACGUUUACAUAUAAACUGAUAUGCAAAUACAUCAUGACUUUUUCCACCCAUGUCAUUCAACUGAUAAAUGGAUAAAUAAACAAUAGGAUACUCUCUGCAUUAAAAAAGAACAACUGAUUCAUGCAAGGAGAUGGAGAAAUCACAAACGUAUGAUGCAAAGUGAAGGGAGCCAGACUGAAAAGGCUACCUAGUUCAAUUUCAUUGACUGGCAUGUCAAUGAAAGGGAAAAGUUUAGAACUAGUUUCAGAGCAGUCCUUGCAAGGAGUUGAAGACAACUUACAAAAAAACAGCAAAAAUGAAUUUUAGGCAGUGAUAGAACUGUUCUUUGUCUUAAUUGUGGAGAUAGUUUACUUGUCUACAUUACAUCUAAACUCAGUUUGUGUUGUGUUUUGUUGUUUUUGUUUUUUGGUAGUGAGGAUUGAACCCAGCGGUGCUUAACCACUGAGCCACAUCACUAGCCCCUAUUUUUAAAUAUUUUAUUUAGAGACAGGGUCUCACUGAAUUGCUAAGUGCCUUGCUAAGUUUGCUGAGGCUGGCUUUGAACUCGAGAUCCUCCUGCCUCAGCCUCCCAAGCUGCUGGGACUAUAGGAGUGAGCCAUGUACCUGGCUAAACUCAGUUUUAUCAUAUGUAUGUAUAUCAUACAAAUUUAUGCAAUUCAUUUUUUGUAAGUUUUUAAAAAACAUUUUUUAGUUGCAGAUGGACACAACAUCUUUUAUUUAUUUAUUUAUUUUUAUGUGGUGCUGAGGACCGAACCCAGUGCAUCCAUAUGUCAGAGGCAAGUGCUCUACUGCUGAGCUAUAUAUAACCCAGCCCCUGUUUGUAAAUUUUAAAAAGUAAAUUCUAAUAUUUUUUAAAAUUCUGAUAUAAUGACUUCUCAGGUCACUUAAGAGGUGUUUUUUCCCCAUGUUUUCUGCCAUGGUCAUUCAUCAAAAUAUCAAUCAAAACCAAUUAAGCCUUGUUUAUUAAAUCUGGGUUAUUUGUGACAGGAGAGGCAUCGAUAAGCAUCAAAAGCCAGUGUUAAUCCUAAAGCACAUUUUGAGCUUUUCUUUACAACCUCUGAACUGAGACUCGAAACCUCUUUCCAAAACAGCCAGAGAGGCUUGAUUAAGUUUCAGCAUCAUUUCCAGACCUCCCAAGGUGGAGCCAUUAAUAAUUAGUGAAAUGGCCCCAAAAAAUAAUGCACUGGAAGGAAUAUGAUUUCAAAAAAUCUGCUGUGACAUAAAUUUCCAAAUGAUUGAGAAUUGAAUAAAAAACCCUUAUCUCCACCUUCCCUGCCUCACAUCCUACCAUAGUUCUGAAGCAGCAAUCAAAUCUGCACCAAUGAUCUCGUGAUAGCAGCCCUGAAGAGGUCAGGGUGAGGCUGGUUGGGUCUAGAGUGUCAACUGGCACCUAUAAAUCUACACAGUCAGUCAAGACUAUCUGUACUCAGAGCCUCUGACAACCAGUCUAGUUUAGACUUGUUCCCAAGAAACACUGGUGAUUAUUUUUAUCUCUUAAUGUUAUAGUUUAACUAAUUCACUAAUGAUUAAGACAAUUUUAAAGGCUGAGCAGGCCCCACUAGCUAAAUGGCUGGUGCAUUUUAGUUAACAUGCAAAGGAUGUCAGCUGCCUGCAGUUAGCUAAUAAUGCAUUAUAAUUAAUAAUACUUGGGCAAAGUGUCCUGUCAGCAGGAGCCCUAAGGUUGUUUUCCUAAUGCACCAAGAUGAUCUCCACCAGACCUCUUCUGUUUCAUUAAAUAAGUAGCUGGUGCUGUUCCUACUCUGAUUCUUUUAAUUCUAAAAGUAAUUUAGGUCCUAAUUCCCAAAACUCACAGGACUUGUUUUCAAUAGCAUUUUCUUUUUUUUUUCACCAUAAUUUGAUAAGCAUUAUUUUUAUUGUCCAUUGAAAUCCUUUAAAGCAUUAAAAAGAGGCAAAGUCAAGAUUGUAAUUUCUCUGGAGUUGACUGUAUAUGGGGUCAUGCUUAGUAGUGUGUUUUAGCUAAAUUAUCACUGAUGUUAACAGGUCUCCUCUCCUUUAUUCUCCUGUGUAUGUCUGUUCAUUUUUAAGAAAUAUGAUUGUUAGCACACUUAUUCUAUGUGUUUACAAAACAAAUUUCUAUUUUGAUGGUAACACUGGAUAAGACUUAUGUGUAAUUACACAUCUGUCUUUUGUAUAAUAAUACAUAGUUCUUGUGUUUAUAGACUUUCAAAAUGCAUGUAUGAUAGUACAUAACAGUAUAAAAGUGUUGAACCAUGAAAGUAAAAUUUAGGAAUCUAGAUUAUCUUGAGGAAUUCAACCAAAUAUUCAGUAGUAAGCUUGUAGCAAUACACAGAGUAAACUAUAAAAAUAAUUAUAAAAUGCAUGAAUUAAAACAAUAGGAUGAGCAUUAAACUACAAGUAUUGAUUCACAUGUGCAUUCUAUAAUUGUUCAAAAAUAGAUUUUGGUUAUAAGAUAAUAAAGAGAAACAAAUUUUCCAGGACUAGGAUUGAUUAUGAGGACUACAAUAAUGAUGUAGAAAAUGCAAUUAACUAAGGUGUCCAAAGUUUACAAAGUACAUGACUGUAGAAAAUUACUUGACUUUUUUUUUUUGAGCCUUAGUUGAUUUAUUUGCCAAAUCAAGGACAUAUUUUCCUAGAAGGGUUUCAGUGCUUUUCCUUUUUUCAUUACUAUGUAAUCUACUGGAGACUACCUUGGGUAAAUCCUUUUCUAAUAAUAAAGGAGCAUUUUUUUUAGUCACAUGAUUUAUUACUUUCUUGUAUUGACUGACAUGUGGGAUGCUG